rnacentral:rRNA from 1 species
GAUGAACGCUGGCGGCGUGCCUAAUACAUGCAAGUCGAGCGAACAGACGAGGAGCUUGCUCCUCUGACGUUAGCGGCGGACGGGUGAGUAACACGUGGAUAACCUACCUAUAAGACUGGGAUAACUUCGGGAAACCGGAGCUAAUACCGGAUAAUAUAUUGAACCGCAUGGUUCAAUAGUGAAAGACGGUUUUGCUGUCACUUAUAGAUGGAUCCGCGCCGCAUUAGCUAGUUGGUAAGGUAACGGCUUACCAAGGCGACGAUGCGUAGCCGACCUGAGAGGGUGAUCGGCCACACUGGAGCUGAGACGCGGUCCAGACUCCUACGGGAGGCAGCAGUAGGGAAUCUUCCGCAAUGGGCGAAAGCCUGACGGAGCAACGCCGCGUGAGUGAUGAAGGUCUUCGGAUCGUAAAACUCUGUUAUUAGGGAAGAACAAAUGUGUAAGUAACUAUGCACGUCUUGACGGUACCUAAUCAGAAAGCCACGGCUAACUACGU